rnacentral:rRNA from 1 species
UUAAGCGACUAAGCGUACACGGUGGAUGCCUAGGCAGUCAGAGGCGAUGAAGGGCGUGCUAAUCUGCGAAAAGCGUCGGUAAGCUGAUAUGAAGCGUUAUAACCGACGAUACCCGAAUGGGGAAACCCAGUGCAAUACGUUGCACUAUCGUUAGAUGAAUACAUAGUCUAACGAGGCGAACCGGGGGAACUGAAACAUCUAAGUACCCCGAGGAAAAGAAAUCAACCGAGAUUCCCCCAGUAGCGGCGAGCGAACGGGGAGGAGCCCAGAGUCUGAAUCAGUUUUGUGUGUUAGUGGAAGCGUCUGGAAAGUCGCACGGUACAGGGUGAUAGUCCCGUACACCAAAAUGCACAGGCUGUGAACUCGAUGAGUAGGGCGGGACACGUGACAUCCUGUCUGAAUAUGGGGGGACCAUCCUCCAAGGCUAAAUACUCCUGACUGACCGAUAGUGAACCAGUACCGUGAGGGAAAGGCGAAAGAACCCCGGCGAGGGGAGUGAAAUAGAACCUGAAACCGUGUACGUACAAGCAGUGGGAGCACCUUCGUGGGUGUGACUGCGUACCUUUUGUAUAAUGGGUCAGCGACUUAUAUUUUGUAGCAAGGUUAAACCGAAUAGGGGAGCCGUAGGGAAACCGAGUCUUAACUGGGCGUCUAGUUGCAAGGUAUAGACCCGAAACCCGGUGAUCUAGCCAUGGGCAGGUUGAAGGUUGGGUAACACUAACUGGAGGACCGAACCGACUAAUGUUGAAAAAUUAGCGGAUGACUUGUGGCUGGGGGUGAAAGGCCAAUCAAACCGGGAGAUAGCUGGUUCUCCCCGAAAGCUAUUUAGGUAGCGCCUCGUGAACUCAUCUUCGGGGUAGAGCACUGUUUCGGCUAGGGGGCCAUCCCGGCUUACCAAACCGAUGCAAACUCCGAAUACCGAAGAAUGUUAUCACGGGAGACACACGGCGGGUGCUAACGUCCGUCGUGAAGAGGGAAACAACCCAGACCGCCAGCUAAGGUCCCAAAGUCAUGGUUAAGUGGGAAACGAUGUGGGAAGGCACAGACAGCCAGGAUGUUGGCUUAGAAGCAGCCAUCAUUUAAAGAAAGCGUAAUAGCUCACUGGUCGAGUCGGCCUGCGCGGAAGAUGUAACGGGGCUAAACCAUGCACCGAAGCUGCGGCAGCGACACUUAGGUGUUGUUGGGUAGGGGAGCGUUCUGUAAGCCGUUGAAGGUGACCUGUGAGGGUUGCUGGAGGUAUCAGAAGUGCGAAUGCUGACAUAAGUAACGAUAAUGCGGGUGAAAAACCCGCACGCCGGAAGACCAAGGGUUCCUGUCCAACGUUAAUCGGGGCAGGGUGAGUCGACCCCUAAGGCGAGGCUGAAAAGCGUAGUCGAUGGGAAACAGGUUAAUAUUCCUGUACUUGGUGUUACUGCGAAGGGGGGACGGAGAAGGCUAGGCUGGCCGGGCGACGGUUGUCCCGGUUUAAGCGUGUAGGGGGAGUGACCAGGUAAAUCCGGUUGCUUAUCAACCCUGAGGCGUGAUGACGAUGCACUACGGUGCAGAAGCAGUUGAUGCCAUGCUUCCAGGAAAAGCCUCUAAGCAUCAGGUAACAUUAAAUCGUACCCCAAACCGACACAGGUGGUCAGGUAGAGAAUACUCAGGCGCUUGAGAGAACUCGGGUGAAGGAACUAGGCAAAAUGGUGCCGUAACUUCGGGAGAAGGCACGCUGGCGUUAGGUGAAAGGACUAGCUCCUGGAGCUGAAGCCAGUCGCAGAUACCAGCUGGCUGCAACUGUUUAAUAAAAACACAGCACUGUGCAAACACGAAAGUGGACGUAUACGGUGUGACGCCUGCCCGGUGCUGGAAGGUUAAUUGAUGGGGUCAGCCGCAAGGCGAAGCUCUUGAUCGAAGCCCCAGUAAACGGCGGCCGUAACUAUAACGGUCCUAAGGUAGCGAAAUUCCUUGUCGGGUAAGUUCCGACCUGCACGAAUGGCGUAAUGAUGGCCAGGCUGUCUCCACCCGAGACUCAGUGAAAUUGAACUCGCUGUGAAGAUGCAGUGUACCCGCGGCAAGACGGAAAGACCCCGUGAACCUUUACUAUAGCUUGACACUGAACAUUGAGCCUUGAUGUGUAGGAUAGGUGGGAGGCCUUGAAGUGUGGACGCCAGUCUGCAUGGAGCCAACCUUGAAAUACCACCCUUUAAUGUUUGAUGUUCUAACUCGGCCCCAUAAUCUGGGGUGAGGACAGUGUCUGGUGGGUAGUUUGACUGGGGCGGUCUCCUCCCAAAGAGUAACGGAGGAGCACGAAGGUUAGCUAAUCACGGUCGGACAUCGUGAGGUUAGUGCAAAGGCAUAAGCUAGCUUGACUGCGAGAGUGACGGCUCGAGCAGGUACGAAAGUAGGUCUUAGUGAUCCGGUGGUUCUGAAUGGAAGGGCCAUCGCUCAACGGAUAAAAGGUACUCCGGGGAUAACAGGCUGAUACCGCCCAAGAGUUCAUAUCGACGGCGGUGUUUGGCACCUCGAUGUCGGCUCAUCACAUCCUGGGGCUGAAGUAGGUCCCAAGGGUAUGGCUGUUCGCCAUUUAAAGUGGUACGCGAGCUGGGUUUAGAACGUCGUGAGACAGUUCGGUCCCUAUCUGCCGUGGGCGUUGGAAGAUUGAGAGGGGCUGCUCCUAGUACGAGAGGACCGGAGUGGACGAAUCACUGGUGUUCGGGUUGUCAUGCCAAUGGCAUUGCCCGGUAGCUAAAUUCGGAAGAGAUAACCGCUGAAAGCAUCUAAGCGGGAAACUUGCCUCGAGAUGAGUCUUCCCUGGGGCUUAAAGCCCCCUGAAGGAACGUUAAAGACUAUGACGUUGAUAGGCUGGGUGUGUAAGUGCAGCGAUGUAUUGAGCUAACCAGUACUAAUGAUCCGUGAGGCUUAACCUU